CUUAAUUCUGUAUUCUACGGAUUUCUAUUCUGUUUAUAGUUCAUUCAUUUAACACAAUGAAAAUAGUGUAUGUGACAACCAUUGCUGGAUUUUUAUUGCUAAGUAUAAUUAUUUUUUUGAAGAUAUCCAACACUUCAUUAAUUUACCUCUCCUUACCAAAAUUAGAAAAAAAAAUCAAAUUCUCCAGACUUAUUUUUUUCCCCAAAUACUUUUUUCUAUCUACAUCUCAUAUAACUGGAUAUCUUUCAAGCUUAUUAGGAAAUCAUUGUACAAUAUCAUUCUGAGUUUUUAGACAUUUCUACCAAAUUUCAAGCAAACCUAACCAUAUGAUUUCAUUAUUAUCCAGUGAUUAAUAUCUACUUUUUAUUAGUUUUAGAAUUUUAGCAUAUGCUAGAUAUAUUAUUUCAAGAUCUUUGUGAGAAACCUCCCAGUUUUAAUUCUAAAACAGUUAUUUAAUCUUGCUUCUAUAGCUCUAGUUAAGAAAGUUGGAAGUUUCUGAAAUAUAUGAGAGUUUCAAAACCAAAAACAUCCUAUCUCAGUAUCUUUUGUAGCUUUCAUAUGUAAUUGAAAAGUAUUAGAGGUUAAAAAAAUACUGCAUUCACUUCACCUUCCUUAAUGUAGUUUUAGAAUGUAUUUAGAUUCAGUAUUGGAAAAAAAUCAAGGGACUUAACUCUGCUGGUACACAUUUCAAGAAGAUAAAUAGACUCCUGAAUGGUAGAUUCUGGUAUCUUCCACUAAGCCAUGUAUGCCCCCAUCCCUUUUUAAAAAGAAAAAAAAAUUAUUUAGAGACAGGGUCUCACUGAGUUGCUUAGGGCCUCACUAAGUUGCUGAGACUGGCUUUGAACUCGUGAUGCUCCUGCCUCAGUCUCCCAAGCCCCUGGGAUUACAGGCAGGCACCACCGUGUCCGGCUUACAUUCAUUCUUAAAUUUCUAUCUUAGUAAUAAUCAUAACUAUCAUUUAUUUUCACUGUGCAGUACUGUUAUAUCGACUUUUGUCAUUCCUUAUAGUUUUCCUUGUGAACUUUGCUUUAUUCUUGUUACAAAUGAGGAAACUAAUUACUGACCAAACAUCAUUUUAUCAUUUUGUAGCACCAAAAUAUUUAUAUUAGACUUCAGACACAUUCUAAUUCAAAACACACUCAGGAUAAAGAAUUUUUGUCAAUCUAUACUUCAAUAAAGCACUACUAAAAUCAUGGCUCUGAUAGCUUUUUAAUAAGUUUCUGAAAGUGUAUAAGGAUAGAAAAACAAAAAAUUCCAGUUCUUUAUAAGGAACAUAAAAUAUAAUUGAAGUCAUUCUUUUCAUUGUCUAGCAAAAAUGACAUUUGGACCCUUUUUUUUUUUUUUUUUAACUUUGUUUAUCUUUAUUUGGUGUUGAGGAUCGAACCCAGUGCCUCACAUUUGUGAGGCAAAUGCUCUGCCACUGAGCCACAACCCCAGCCCUGGACCUUCUUUAUACUGAGCUUUAACUUGUGUGGUAUUAUCUUUUCAUUUUGUUACAUUAAGUUUGGAGUUUCCAACAAUAUGUGACACAAUGAAUAUUUACUAUAAAAAUUACAUAAAUGUGUUGGUAGUGAAACAUCUCUAAACAAAGGGGAGUUUUUGCUUUCUAGUGCUUUGGUGUGUAUAUACACAUUACCUUCUGGACUCUGUCAUACAACAUUUUUAUAAUUACAUUACACAUGUAGGACUAAGUUUAAUGUUCUCUUUUUAGUACUAUUUAAAGUGAGAAGUAUUUUUAGUAUGAGAAUGGACAACUUUUGAAUUCUUUGAAUGCCUAAAUUAUUUUAUGCUUGUACUAUAAAAAAACUACUAAGGUAAAGUACUUUUUUAUCCACCUAAUCAGAAUAGAUUUUUACAUCUUUUAAUUAAGAGAAAAAGAGCAAAAAAUUUUUUUUCUAUUUUACUAUUUAAGUGAUUUUCAUAUCAAUCCCAAGUAAAUAUACUUGCAAGCCAUAUACUUAUAUUUACUCUUAUCAUCAUAUGGGAUUUAGGCCAGUGCAUUAUGACCUACAGAGUUUUGGAAACAUUUUUAAAAUGCCAAAGAAAUACUCUGUAUAGUAUAUUACAGCUCAGAAGGGAAAGUUUGUUAAAAAUGGUUCUGGCUUAUAAAAACAAUCUAAAUAAUUAGUGAAAUGGAAUAAGUCUGUGGUCUUGAAUAAUUUUCUUAGAUAAGCUAAAAGUAAUUCAGUUGAAAGUAAAGAUUCUAACACCUGGAUUUCUGUUUAAGCUAUUCUAUAUUAUGUAACAACUGAGAGAUUGGAAUAACUUAGUGUAAUAACUUCAAAGAGAAAAGGCAAGAUCUAGGUUUAACAUGCAUUAAGAUAUGCCUUCUUAUGUAGAUGGAUAUGAUGGAUAAAUGAUACUUUGUUAUUCACCUGCUGUAAAGCUUAUUCUUUUGUCAAAGCUGAAUUUGACAAGUUUUGGGUUGAGUUCUUUCAGUUUAUGUAUAUAGCAUUUUCUUAGAGAACUUGUAAUUAAAUUCUGUAUCAUUUAGUAGAUUGUUAGAAUGUAUUGUUUAAAGGACUGAAAUGAAUUAUGUAACUCAAUUGAUUUUCUCACAAUGGCAAAAAAAUAUUUGUACUUCGAUGCCUUACAUUCUUCGGCCAACCAACCAAAAUUGCAGCAAUGACAUAGAAUUUUUCAGUUUGGUGCUACUGUUAAAGCUUACAUUCUUUUGCUGCCUUUUUUUUUUUUUUUUUAAAUAAAUUCAUAUAUUUUAGUAGUUAGAAGUAAAUGUAAAAUGUUUCUUAAGAAUGACUGCUAAAUUUUAUUUAGGUUUAUUCUUGUAGUGACAGCUAUUAUUUCUCAUACACCUUCAGUCCAGAAAUCUCCACUUAUGUGCCAUUAAUUAAUCUGUGCAUUAUCAUUCAUAUUAAAUUACAUCAAAAUAUUUAGAAAAUCAAAUACGUAUUUCUGUAAUGACAGAAAUUAGGAGCUUUUCCAAAAAUGUUUUUAUUAAGACAUUAUAGUUGUACAUAAAAGUGAGGCUCAUUUUGACAUAAUUGUACAAGAAUGGAAUAUUGUUUACUCCAGUACUUCCUCUUUUCUCUCACCUAUUCCCUUUUCUCCUACCUCUUUUUUACUGGUUUUUCUUUUAUUUAUUUAUUUAUUGAUUGAUUGAUUGUUAUUUUAAUUGGUCCUUUAUAGAUAUAUAAAGGUGAAAUUCACUGUGUUAUAUUCAUGUACUUACAUAGCAUCAGUGUCAUGUCAUAGUUCUAGAGGGUUUUUUCUAGUAUUAUUCUAAAAUCAUAUUCCUUUUUCCACAUUUAUCACUGUAGAGUUUGUGCUGAAGGAUUUCUUGGCCAUUUUAGACUAUAAUCUAGUUAAAAGGUUUGUUUAUGCUUCCCAUCCCUGUUCUGCUGAUGGUAUUAGAAUGCAGGCCAGAGCCAGACAUCUAACUGUUUAUAACAUUCAAACUUCAAUUAAAGCUACAGUGUUCACUUUAUUAUAUAUCAGAAAGCUCAUACCAGCUAAAAAUAUCAUAUGUAAUGAUGGUAAUGAUCUUAUGUGGCCAUAAGAUAUCCUAAAUCUUACUACUCUUUAAGAAUAUUUUUUUCAUUUAUGAAGUUUUAAUAAUAUAUUCUUUUAGGAUUGUCAAGUGAAGGUUAUUUUCCAUUAGAAGUAAUAUAGAUUUUCCUUUAAAAUAUUUUUCAUUUCAUAAAAAUGAAGCCUAACAGCUUAUAUUAGUGCUUCAAUUGUCUAGUUUACUUGUCUUAAAAUUAAUACAUUGUCUAGACAUUGCUUUCCUAUUCAAUUGAUUUGAAUCCCCUUUGAAAAAUAUAGCAAUAUGUUGCCAAUUAGAAAAUAAAACUAAUAGUCAUAUUACUCCAGUUUCCUUGUAUGUUUGAAAAGAGUGUGGGUACACAUAACACAGAUUUUAAUUUAAUAUUAUAUUGCUUUUCUAAGCUGCUGCUCUUGCCGUUUUGGCUUUAUGUUUUUAAACAUGUUGAUAAACUGUUUUAAAGGUCUUUUUUUUAAGCUAUUAAGAAUAUUUUAAGUACAUUUCUUCAGCUGCCUCUCUGCUUUUGUCGUUUUCC
rnacentral:lncRNA from 1 species